rnacentral:lncRNA from 1 species
GAGUGUGAGAGCGAGAACAGCCCCGCAGGUCCCGAGGCGCUGGCUGGGGACAAUGCCGCGGAAAGUUCCCAGUCCCCAGCCGCAGAUCUGCAGAAUUGAAAUGAAAUGUUUUGAGCUCUUCAAGCUGACUCGUCAGAAUCCUGGAGCCUUUUAAAAAAUGACGAAUUGGAAGGAAAAAUUACUUUAUCAAUAACCAGGCUCCACCAGGAUUGACCUAGAUGGUUGUUCCUGGCACUUGUCAUUCUCAGCAAGCACAGCUCAGAGAACAAAUACAAAAGACCCAAAGUGCAUUGCAUCUUUUAUGGAAGUGCCCAAUGUGGAAAUCAUAGAUUUCAAGGAAGGAACAAGAAAAUUGAUGAAACAAGUUCAAAAGAAAGAAGCUUGGCCAAUUUGAUGUCAAUGGAAAUGCGUGAGAUUUUUAUUCAGCAUUCACACCUGAGCAAUGCUUUUGGUCAUGAUGUUAUACUAAGAAGAAACCACCUGAGAUGAGACUGUUAGAUGUUAAGAGCAAACAAAAACAAAAACAGACCAACAAAAAAACCCAAAACAAAACAGAAGUUUCUGAAGGACAGCAGAAAUGGCUUUGCAGGACCACAACAACCACUCCCAGUCAUGAUGGAGAGAAGUGUUCAAUACCCACAGAUCCUGAAUGUUGAGCUGAUUAUACUAACUAGAUGGGACUUAGUUUUGUCUACCGUGGGGUGAGCGUAUACUACCUGAGGGAACAGGUUCUCUGUGGUGAAGAUGGCAACUUGCUGACUCAGUCUCAGAAUGCGUUAAAUCCACAUAUUCUGGCAAGUGGAGUUCUGCUUCUCCAAUAUCUCUUCCAGACUAAGUCUCGAAAGGACAGUAAUUGAUCCACCCUGAGUCAUAUGCCCAUGUCCAAAGCAAUGAGUUUGGAAAAUUUCAUGACACACUCCUAAUUUUGUGGUAGGAGACACAUCAGAACCACACAAUGAGUCAGUCCUAUUUAUGAAAUAGAGGUUCAUCUAUCAGAUGAAAGGGAAAAAAGUUGUAAAAACAAAACAGAUGUUCACUAAUGGGGAUCUAUCUGAAUUUCACCUGUAACUACAAAUGCUCACAAGUAGAUUUACAGUUCUCCUAGAGUGUCAUGAAUUUAAAAACAUAUGCAUGGAAUCAUAAAGUAAUAUCCUAAUCACCUCUCUCAACUUUCUGUUGAAUCUCUCCUUAACAUAAAAUGAGAAUAUAUUAGCAGCAGGAGAAGGAUUAUUUUUUCAUUUAUAGACCUUUAUCAGACACUAAUGUAGGAUUGAGUUUGACCUGAUACAGUGUUCUAUCUCUGAGUGUUGUCACUCAGUUUCAUCAUAAAUAAAAUUUAUUUUAUAUGAUAUAUAGAGAACAAAUUUACUUAUUUUUCUCAUGUAAUCAUGUAAUCAAUUGUUCCAACAUAAUCCAUUGAAUAGAUAUUGUGGCAUUUCCCUAAUUAUUUAUAAAGGUACUGUUACUAGAUAUGAAUAUUUAUAUAUGAGGAUAUGAAUCGUGGCUCUCUGAUUUGUUCAUUAUUUGCUUGUCUAUUCCUGUGCCAGUAUCAUACAAUUGGUACUAAUAUAGUGUUCUGAUAUUGACAGGAAGAAGUGCUCCUUCUAAUGAUGUAGUUUUAAAUUUGUCUUGGUUGUGCAUUUCUUUUUAUUCUUCCAUAGAGAUUUGUGGUUCAGUUGUCAGCUUUGAAAAUCACUUUUGGGAUUUGAAUUUGAAUUGCAUGAAAUUUGUAGACUAACUUGUAGAAAAUAGACAUUUUUAUGAUAUGAAUUUACACAUCCUUGUAACCAUGGGUGUGUUAUUUAUUUUCACUUUUGAAUAUUAUUGUGGGUAUUUAGUAAUAAAAAUAACAAUCAACGAGUUAUAUGGUGGUUACUAUGUGACAGAUGUUGUCAAAGUUCCAUCCAUAUAUCAACUUAUUAUAUAUUCUUAUGGGAAGAGACCGUUAUUAUCUCCAUUACACAGGUAAGAAAAUCGAGGUACAAAGAGCUUAAGUAACAUGUGCUAAGUCAUAUAAGAGUAAAGCUUUAUUUGAAUCCAUGCAGUUUGUCUCCAGAGCUUGAAAUCCAUUUUAUUUUAUUUUAUUUUAUUUUUACUUUAAAAAAAAUUUUUUUUGAGACGGAAUCUCGCUUUGUUGCCCAGGCUGGAGUGCAGUGGCACGAUCCUGGCUCAUUGCAACCUCCACCUCCUGGGUUCAAGCAAUUCUCCUGCCUCAGCCUCCUGAGUAGCUGGGACUACAGGUGGGCACCACCACGCCCAGCUAAUUUUUUGUAUUUUUAGUAGAGAAUGGGGUUUCACCAUGUUAGCCAGGAUGGUCUCGAUCUCCUGACCUCAUGAUCCACCUGCCUCGGCCUCCCAAAGUGCUGGGAUUACAGGCGUGAGCCACUGCAUCCAGCCUGAAAUAUUUACCAGUAUCUGAUAUUGCCUCACUAAGAACUUUGCCCAACUCCUUAGUGAUUCUACCAUUGGCUUAGUAUUUUGGAUUUUCUAGUAGACAAUAAUAUCAUGUGUGCAUAAAGCAAAUACAAUUAUUAUUACAAUAAAAUUUUUAAACUACUCAUUUGUACUUGCUUUCAUAAAGCCUUAGCUAAUUCCAACAAAAUAUUGAUUACUGUGGGAGAGAGUGGUAAAUCUUGUUUUGUACCUAAUAUUAAAUAAAAUGCUACUAAAUAUAAGUGAGAUGCUUGCUAUAAGUUUUAGUAGUUAAACACUAUAAAGUUAUUUCUUGUCUAUUUUCAAGAAUUUUUUAUUAUUUUAAAUGCAUGUGCAAUUUUUUAAAAAAGUAUUGUUUUGCAUCUAAUGUUAAAUAAAAUGCUUCUAAGUAUUAGUACUAAA